CGUCAAAUGAAAAAGAACAGAAAAACAAAACAUUGAGUUGCCUUGUUGGAUCAAUAUUUUUGCAUCGGUGUUUGAAGCUGUUCCCGUUAGUUUUCCGGUAGUAUUCUGCAGUUAAGGACAUUCGUAUCCGGAACGUUGGAUUGGAAAAGUUUCACCAGUAGCGAAGCAAAGAUGAACCAAUCCAGCUUCGAUGCUACACGAUCCAGAAGGUCCAUGAUUGGAUGCGAAUUCGACAAUCACCUCGAUCACCUCACUACAGGCCUCCAAUUUGAAAACGAUCGCCCACCCGGCAGUUUGCACAGGUGUUGUUAUAGACUGGCUGUUAAGCUGCUCCGUGUACGAAUCUGCUUUGUGCGGCCAUGAAGUACCAACACAUUCACCGCGAUUUGGUUGAGAAGGCCAGCAUCAUCUACAUCCCGGCCGAGCCGAAAGUUGCCUUCGUGAUGCGGGGCGAAUGAAAGGGCGGUAAGAUGCUACAGUUGUUUCGAGUACGCCAGAUCAUCGUUUAUCGUUUAAAUAACAUGUUACGCAUUGCCGAGCCGUACAUCACCAACAGGUAUGCGACGCUGAAAUCGAUCCGCUGAAAGUUAUGCGCCGGUUACAAGAUGCAACACUUCGAGGAUCUGAUGUCCACAUCUACACACCAACUCAACACCCCAACCAGUAGUUCGCCAAAAACCACUACGUCGAGGACGAUGACUUCGGUAAUCGUUAGGAUAACAUCAAUCCCGACCAACCAGUCUUCAUAAUUCAUUAUUGAUCUUUGACCAACGAUGGCGAUCGCUAACGGUUCAAAACGAAUCUACAUCGAUCGCUAUCGAAAACCACUGACUGGUUGACCGGGAUGGGCUUAUAGCAUAAGAUCUGAGACCGUUAAUUUGUGCGUAGGCGCGAUCUGCGGGAAAGAACAUCAAGUACAAUACCUAGGGCUUGUAGCGAGUCACUUUCUAGUGACUUGGUCACUAGAAAGUCAUCAUCUACAACAAAAAGCCCCUUUCUUUUUAAUAAAAGUAAACCUCAAUGUCACUAAUUAUGAACUCAAAGCAAGAAAAAAAAUGUUUUACAACAGACAAAUAGACGCAACUCUCAUUAUUUUCAUC